UUGGGAAUUCAUAAAUAGUGCAACACUAUUCAGCAUCUUGAAGUUGAUUCUCCUUUUUUGUCCCUUGUGGGAGGAAGACAGGAGUCUUGAUUCUGCUGUGGAACAGAUCUGCCUUACCUUGAAAUCCUACAGUCCAUACUGAAGUCAAACCCUGACGACAGUCCUCUACUAUCAUUCAGCAGCUGGAUUUGGGAGAAACACCUACGGAUGCUUGAAAAGUACCAGAAAAUGAGUGGGCUAAUGAAAGACUCCAAAGGAUUAACUAAAGAGGUGCCUGAGAAAAGGUGGAGCCCUGACUCACCCUGGAAUCAGCUUACUGUGAUAAUGCCAG